rnacentral:rRNA from 1 species
UACAUAGGUGGCAAGCGUUGUCCGGAUUUACUGGGCGUAAAGAGCGCGCAGGCGGUCGUUCAAGUCGCGUGUGAAAGCCCCCGGCUCAACUGGGGAGGGUCACGCGAUACUGAUCGACUGGAAGGCAGGAGAGGGUAGUGGAAUUCCCGGUGUAGUGGUGAAAUGCGUAGAUAUCGGGAGGAACACCAGUGGCGAAGGCGACUUCCUGGCCUGUUCUUGACGCUGAGGCGCGAAAGCUAGGGGAGCAAACGGG